rnacentral:rRNA from 1 species
AUGGUACUGUCGCCUCCUGCAGCGGCCAAGCAGAAGGUGAAGAAAAAUGCCAAGAAGGAGGUGGUGGCGGCCACGCCGGUGCACGUGACAGUUAGCACCCAGUGCCAACAGUUCAAGAGAAGAGCUUUAAAGGUGAAGGAGGAUCUUGAAAGUGUUGUCCCGGGGGUUUUUGUGACAAUCAACCCUGAAAAGCCAUGCCGUGGAUGCCUUGAGAUAUGGGAGAAAGGUGGUGAUGUGUUCAUUUCAGUGCUGAACAUGCCACGACCCUUCAAAAAGAUGAAGGAGCUCAACAUGGACAAUGUUAUCAAGGACAUUGCCCAGAAAAUUGCUUGA